rnacentral:tRNA from 1 species
GCGGAUAUGGUUGAAUGGUAAAAUUGCUCUUUGCCAAGGAGAAGACGCGGGUUCGAUUCCCGCUAUCCGCC